GCAGUCGAGCGCACCCUUCGGGGCGAGCGGCGGACGGGUUAGUAACGCGUGGGAACAUACCCUUUUCUAUGGAAUAGCCUUUGGAAACGAAGAGUAAUACCAUAUACGCCCUUCGGGGGAAAGAUUUAUCGGAGAAGGAUUGGCCCGCGUAAGAUUAGAUAGUUGGUGUGGUAAAGGCGCACCAAGGCGACGAUCUCUAGCUGUUCUGAGAGGAAGAUCAGCCACACUGGGACUGAGACACGGCCCAGACUCCUACGGGAGGCAGCAGUGGGGAAUAUUGCACAAUGGGGGAAACCCUGAUGCAGCCAUGCCGCGUGUGUGAAGAAGGCCUUCGGGUUGUAAAGCACUUUCAGUUGUGAGGAAAGGUUGGAGGUUAAUACCCUUUAGCUGUGACGUUAGCAACAGAAGAAGCACCGGCUAACUCCGUGCCAGCAGCCGCGGUAAUACGAAGGGAACUAGCGUUGUUCGGAUUUACUGGGCGUAAAGAGCAUGUAGGCGGAUUGGACAGUUGAGGGUGAAAUCCCAGAGCUCAACUCUGGAACGGCCUUCAAUACUUCCAGUCUAGAGUCCGUAAGGGGGUGGUGGAAUUCCGAGUGUAGAGGUGAAAUUCGUAGAUAUUCGGAG
rnacentral:rRNA from 1 species